GUGCGUAAUAGCUCACUGGUCAAGUGGUAGAGCGCCGAAAAUGAACGGGGCUAAAAUCUAAUACCGAAGCUGUGGACUAAUUAAAUUAGUGGUAGAGGAGCAUUGUGUAAGGGGUGAAGCUAAGUUGGAAGACGAAGUGGACUUUACAGAAGAGAGAAUGCUGGCAUGAGUAGCGAAAAGGAGGGUGAGAAUCCCUCCCGUCGAAAGCCUAAGGAUUCCUGAGGAAGGCUCGUCCUCUCAGGGUAAGUCGGGACCUAAGCCCAGGCUGAAAAGCGUAAGCGAUGGACAACAGGUUGAGAUUCCUGUACUAUCUUUGAAUGUUUAAGAGAAGUACUGACGCAGGAGGAUAUGUUGAGCGUGUGAAUGGUAGAGCACGUCUAAGCAAGUAGGUAGAGAAUAGAGGCAAAUCCCUAUUCUUAAUAUCGAGAUGUGAUGGGGAGCGAAAAACAAGUAGUGAAGCAACAAAUUCCAAACUGCCAAGAAAAGGUACUAUUGAGUGAGAAGAUACCCGUACCAAAACCGACACAGGUAGGCAAGGAGAGAAUCCUAAGACGCGCGGAAGAACCUUUGUUAAGGAACUCGGCAAAAUGACCCCGUAACUUCGGGAGAAGGGGUACCAUUAGAUGUGAAGAGCAUACGCUCGGAGCAUAGAGUGGUCGCAGAGAAUAGGCCCAAGCAACUGUUUACCAAAAACACAAGUCUCUGCUAAAUCGAAAGAUGAAGUAUAGGGGCUGACACCUGCCCGGUGCUGGAAGGUUAAGGGGAAAUGUUAGAGCAAUCGAAGCAUAGAACUUAAGCCCCAGUAAACGGCGGCCGUAACUAUAACGGUCCUAAGGUAGCGAAAUUCCUUGUCGGGUAAGUUCCGACCCGCACGAAAGGUGUAAUGAUUUGGGCACUGUCUCAACAAAGGAUCCGGUGAAAUUGUAGUAGUCGUGAAGAUGCGACUUACCCACGAUAGGACGGAAAGACCCCGUGGAGCUUUACUGUAGGCUGGCAUUGGAAUUUGGUAUUAAAUGUACAGGAUAGGUGGGAGACUGAGAAACGAGAGCGCCAGUUUUCGUGGAAUCAAUGUUGGGAUACCACGCUUUUGAUACUAAAUUUCUAACUUGAUACUCUGAAU
rnacentral:rRNA from 1 species